CGGUGCAUUAAUGCUGGUAUGAUCGCACCCGUACGAAAGUGGAUUGGAAGAUUACUAAUGCAGCGUUACGAACGCGCAGAACGGUUUGAGUAGCCACGGAGUAAAAAAGGAAAUAAAAACGGAAAAAAGGGUGAAAUAAUUUCGGAAAAAAGGGAACGGCAAGAAGGUAUCGUCGAGGAGUCGGAUCGAGAAUCGGACGGAAGGAGGAAAAAAAAAAAGAAAUUAAAAUUAAAAGGGGACUGGAACGAGAAGAGGCAAAAAGGAGUGCAACACGAGGACUUCCCAGGAGGUCACCCAUCCUAGUACUACUCUCGCCCAAGCACGCUUAACUGCGGAGUUCUGAUGG
rnacentral:rRNA from 1 species